GACGAACGCUGGCGGCGUGCCUAAUACAUGCAAGUCGAGCGAAGUUUUUCUGGUGCUUGCACCGGAAAAACUUAGCGGCGAACGGGUGAGUAACACGUAAAGAACCUGCCUCAUAGACUGGGACAACUAUUGGAAACGAUAGCUAAUACCGGAUAACAGCAUUAACUGCAUGGUUGAUGUUUAAAAGUUGGUUUUGCUAACACUAUGAGAUGGCUUUGCGGUGCAUUAGCUAGUUGGUGGGGUAAAGGCCUACCAAGGCGACGAUGCAUAGCCGACCUGAGAGGGUGAUCGGCCACACUGGGACUGCGACACGGCCCAGACUCCUACGGGAGGCAGCAGUAGGGAAUCUUCCGCAAUGGGCGAAAGCCUGACGGAGCAACGCCGCGUGAGUGAAGAAGGAUUUCGGUUCGUAAAGCUCUGUUGUUAGGGAAGAAUGAUUGUGUAGUAACUAUACACAGUAGAGACGGUACCUAACCAGAAAGCCACGGCUAACUACGUG
rnacentral:rRNA from 1 species